rnacentral:lncRNA from 1 species
AAUCUUCCAACUAGGUAUUUAAGACUUCGAAAUGCUGAAAUUUUGCCCUCAUUUCUCCCAUAAUUAUUUUCUCCUCCCUCUCUCUUCUCUCUCUCUUUCUCCAUAACUGUCGCCCCUCCACCACCGUCGGAAAUCGCCCACCGGCGGUGGACCACCUCCAAACCAUCUCAGAAUUUCACCAUGUAAUCUCCAACACCUCCUCUUUCCAUAUAUCCAAACCAAAUCCUUCAAAAAAACCUCAAACUACUUGAAUUUUAGAUCUAGGAAAUUUUUCCGUCACUUUUUUGCCCAAAUUCUUGAAGCUCCGGCUACUACCACCCCACAAUACCUAUAUCAAUGGAUAGAACUCCUUAAGACCUACCUAUUGAUUCCAAUUCUACCCUAAAAAUUCGGUGAUCAAAAUCCGGCCAAAUUCCGGCAACCUCCCCGAACACCCUCUUUUGGCAUACCACCAUUUUUUCGGCCUUUUGAUUUGUAAAAUGGUAAAAAUUCUAUUCUUUUUCAUGACUGAUUUUUUAUUUUAUUUUUAGUUUUCAGAUUUUAUUUUAUCUUUUAUUAAUUAUUUUAGCAUUAGUUUUUGAUGUUCGAAAUAUUAAAUUUUCUGUUUUGCACUUGUUGAAGUAGUAAAAUAGUUUUGUAUUGAUGAAAGUGAGGUAGUGAAGAAUAACUUGAGAGUAUAGGGUAGUUGUUUGUUUGUUUUUUUACUGCUUUAAGACUUUGUGAAUACAAUACUCAAAAGUCAUUUGUUUGGUCAGAAAAUAUAGACUUUUGGACAAUUUUUGAAUAAAAGUCUAUCUUUGAAUAGUGAAGAGCAGAUUUUGUUUGAAAUACUCUCUGUUGGACAAGAUUGAACCAAAAAAGUCUUGCUUUUGAAUUUAAGAGAAGAUUUUGUGGAAAAAUAUGUCAAAAAGAUUAAUUUUUAAUCUUGAAAUAGCUGUUUGUUUCUCAGAUAUAAAGAAAGGGGAGGACACUCCAUCUGAUGGAAGAGCUCUACACACAAAAAAGAGGGGGAAAAAUCAGUAGCUAUAAUAUCCCUUAGCAGC